GUAAGCGUGCGCAGGCGGUUAUAUAAGACAGAUGUGAAAUCCCCGGGCUCAACCUGGGAACUGCAUUUGUGACUGUAUAGCUGGAGUGCGGCAGAGGGGAUGGAAUUCCGCGUGUAGCAGUGAAAUGCGUAGAUAUGCGGAGGAACACCGAUGGCGAAGGCAAUCCCCUGGGCCUGCACUGACGCUCAUGCACGAAAGCGUGGGGAGCAAACAGGAUUAGAUACCCCUGU
rnacentral:rRNA from 1 species